GAUGCUUUGUGACGACAACCGACGAAAGGAAACUGAGUAUGGAAAUGAAAAAGACUUCGACAAUCGUGUAUUUUUGUCUCUGUGAAAUUGAGAAUUAAUACAGAGCAAAGAUGACAUGUUAUAAAGAACUUAGUACUACCAAUACAUGUACUGAUGGAGAUCUAGGUACAAUAUUAUCAAUGAAAGAUGAGGCAGUUGCUGCAUGGUGAUCCCGCUGUAAAUCCUGUGCCUGUGGCUUCCUCCAUUCAGCCAUCAUCAUCAGCAACACCUUUCCCAUAGAAGAAGAAGACUAAAGUUGCCAGCAUAUCAAAGGAUCUAAGCUGGGUGACAUCAUUUAAAGAGGACUUGCAUCAAAUGCAUGCCGAGAGGAUGGAGGAUGAGAAAAAGCUGUUGGCUUUAGAAGAAAGGAGAGUUGUUGCACUUGAGAAACUGGCUGAUUUUGUUCACAAAUAAACUUUGAAUACUGAUCACAUAUAUGCCAUACAUUGAAGUGAACAUGAUAAGACAUAUAUACAGUGUAUAGGAAUCUGCCCCUUCAGAAUAUAAAUCCUCUUUCUGAAACUAAA